rnacentral:rRNA from 1 species
AGAGUUUGAUCCUGGCUCAGAACAAACGCUGGCGGCGUGCAUAACACAUGCAAGUCUGACGGGAAAGUCGGCUUCGGCUGGCAAGUACCGUGGCGAACGGGUGAGUAACACGUGGGUAAUCUAACCUCGAGUUUGGGAUAACCUUGCGAAAGCGGGGCUAAUACCGAAUAAGACCACGCUCAGUCCGCUGAGUGCGGUAAAAGGCGGCCUCUUCUUGAAAGCUGUCACUUGAGGAUGAGCCCGCGGCCUAUUAGCUAGUUGGUGGGGUAAUGGCCUACCAAGGCGACGAUGGGUAGCCGGCCUGAGAGGGUGUACGGCCACACUGGCACUGAGAUACGGGCCAGACUCCUACGGGAGGCAGCAGUGGGGAAUUUUGCGCAAUGGGGGAAACCCUGACGCAGCAACGCCGCGUGAGUGAUGAAGGCCUUCGGGUCGUAAAGCUCUUUUAGUGGGGAAGAAUCCCACCCGGGCUAAUACCUCGGGUGUCUGACGGUACCCACAGAAAAAGUUCCGGCUAACUACGUGCCAGCAGCCGCGGUAAUACGUAGGGAGCAAGCGUUGUUCGGAAUUAUUGGGCGUAAAGAGCGCGUAGGCGGUUCGGUAAGUCUGAUGUGAAAUCCCGGAGCUUAACUCUGGAACUGCAUUGGAUACUGCCGAGCUUGAGUGUGGGAGAGGAGAGUGGAAUUCCCAGUGUAGAGGUGAAAUUCGUAGAUAUUGGGAGGAACACCCGUGGCGAAGGCGGCUCUCUGGACCACAACUGACGCUGAGGCGCGAAAGCUAGGGUAGCAAACGGGAUUAGAUACCCCGGUAGUCCUAGCCGUAAACGAUGGGCACUAGGUGUUGGAGGUAUCGACCCCUCCAGUGCCGCAGCUAACGCAUUAAGUGCCCCGCCUGGGGAGUACGGUCGCAAGACUAAAACUCAAAGGAAUUGACGG